CGUAGUUUGUCAGUCAGUGUUGCCGCGCAUAGAGGAGUAAGGAUUGAGCAUUUGCUGUCAAUGAUUGCUGACAAGCUAGCUGGUUUUGAUGUUGUCAUUGUGCACGUUGGCACUAACAACACUGUUGACAGUGUCAGCGUGUGCAUGGACAAGUAUCGCCAGCUCGCUCAGGGGAUCAUUGAGAGAAAUCCCAUGGUGCAUGUAGCUUUUUCUGCCAUUCUUCCUCGGGGGCAGAAUCAGUACAGCUCAUGGGAAGCUCAGUCUUCAUGGUUGCAUGACCUGAAUGGUAACUACGAAAAGAUUAACAGUGCCCUGAUGCAGUACUGCCACGAGUGUGGCUACACAUUCCUGGGUGGUCUCGUGGACAACUGGCCCAGUUGCCUGAGCAGAGAUGGUGUCCACCCGAGCCGCUUUGGUAACAAGGUGCUGGCAGACUUCCUGUACCAGGGGGCCUGCACCCUGUCCAUCCAUCUGGAGAGAAGCCGCAUCCAGCAGUCCUACAAGGAGACCCAGGAACCUUCUUCAUGGACCAGUUGGACUCGGCAGGACAGCAUCCCUGCCAUCUCCGAGGCUGACUUUCCCCCGCUUGGUCCACUGACGUACCAGCUGCAUGCAUUCACACUACCAUCAAGUCAUCAGGAGCGUCUGUACCUCUAUCUAAAUAUUACACUAUUGUCUAAGGUGGAAAAUCAGACUUGUAUAUUUUGCUGUAAUGGUUCUGCCAAUAAAAGAUUGAUUAUACAUA